AACUAAGUUUAGAUUAUGAUGUUCUUGGUUCAAUUCAAGUGAUGAAAUGUUAGUUCUCUUUAGCAAUCUGCGAAAAUUCUACCUAGUGUGUAUUACUUUCUAUUAUCUAAUAACUAUCGAUUAAUUUGUCUUGAUGGUGUUCUUGCGUGUAUUCAUUAUUUCUAAAUUUGCUGAAGUCUUUUAUUGUGUUUCAUAUGUAUCCUUAAUUUUGUCAAUUUUUAAGAAGUUAAUAGAGAUUCUGUUAGUACUAUUGUCCACUGGUAUGUUCAAAUAUUUUAGUGGUCAUGUAGCUUGUUACUUUAUCACUAAAUUAUAACUAGAUAUGGGCUUAC
rnacentral:lncRNA from 1 species